rnacentral:rRNA from 1 species
AGUGAACGCUGGCGGUAGGCCUAACACAUGCAAGUCGAACGGCAGCACAGUAAGAGCUUGCUCUUACGGGUGGCGAGUGGCGGACGGGUGAGGAAUACAUCGGAAUCUACUUUUUCGUGGGGGAUCACGUAGGGAAACUUACGCUAAUACCGCAUACGCCCUACGGGUGAAAGCAGGGGAUCUUCGGACCUUGCGCGAUUGAAUGAGCCGAUGUCGGAUUAGCUAGUUGGCGGGGUAAAGGCCCACCAAGGCGACGAUCCGUAGCUGGUCUGAGAGGAUGAUCAGCCACACUGGAACUGAGACACGGUCCAGACUCCUACGGGAGGCAGCAGUGGGGAAUAUUGGACAAUGGGCGCAAGCCUGAUCCAGCCAUACCGCGUGGGUGAAGAAGGCCUUCGGGUUGUAAAGCCCUUUUGUUGGGAAAGAAAAGCAGCAGGUUAAUACCCCGCUGUUCUGACGGUACCCAAAGAAUAAGCACCGGCUAACUUCGUG